rnacentral:lncRNA from 1 species
AACUUACUAUCUAGGCUGAUGAUUACUAUACUCGUAUGUCCACGUUUGUCAUUCCUUACUACUUACUAUCUAGGCUGGUGAUUACUAUACUCGUAUGUCCACGUUUGUCAUUCCUUAAUACUUACUAUCUAGGCUGGUGAUUACUAUACUCGUAUGGCCACGUUUAUCAUUCCUUACUACUUACUAUCUAGGCUGGUGAUUACUAUACUCGUAUGUCCACGUUUGCCAUUCCUUACUACUUACUAUCUAGGCUGGUGAUUACUAUACUCGUAUGUCCA